UACGUAGGUGGCGAGCGUUGUCCGGAUUUACUGGGCGUAAAGAGCGCGCAGGCGGUCGUACAAGUCGCGUGUGAAAGCCCCCGGCUCAACCGGGGAAGUGGUGCCGAAACGACCCGUCUGGAGGGACGUAGGGGGACCUGGAACUUCCGGUGGAGCGGUGAAAUGCGUUGAGAUCGGAAGGAACGCCCGUGGCGAAAGCGGCUCUCUGGGACGUGACUGACGCUGAGACGCGAAAGCGUGGGGAGCAAACAGG
rnacentral:rRNA from 1 species